CUCCCCUACGGGACGCAGCAGUGGGGAAUAUUGCACAAUGGGGGAAACCCUGAUGCAGCGACGCCGCGUGUGGGAAGACGGUCUUCUGGAUUGUAAACCACUGUCCCCAGGGACGAAAAUGACGGUACCUGGGGAGGAAGCUCCGGCUAACUACGUGCCAGCAGCCGCGGGAAUACGUAGGGAGCAAGCGUUGUCCGGAAUUACUGGGUGUAAAGGGAGCGGAGGCGGGGGUGCAAUUUGGGUGUCAAAACUACCGGCUCAACCGAGAGU
rnacentral:rRNA from 1 species